AGUUGCAUCCAAAACGUUUAGUGUUUAUAAUCAAAAUGCCGGCAAUCAACGGUCACCAAACACCAAAAAAAGAUACGGACCUUGUGAAGAUCGAGACCUCGGAUCUUCCUCAAUUAAGGGAUUUGUUCAAGCCGCAAAAUUAUCCUGAAACGAUAUUCGUCUACUAUUUUAUAGAUAAUUAUAUAAAUUGGCUGAAAAAGGAACCAAAUAUAUCGAUAGAUUUUUACAGUUUGGAUGGUAAUUGGAAAGAUGGCACUUUCGUGGCUCAUUUACCAGAUCAAAACUAUGUGGUGACCUACAGCAGAAAACCAGAAAUCCAGCGAUGGGAUAAAAUGGCAAAUUCUAAAGUUUUAAAAUGGAAAGAAGGACUAAUGAUUGGUGGUUUGCAUAGUAAUUUACACAAACCAGUUUUGGAUUCUUUGAAGAACAGUAUUGAUUUGGUACCUCUUAAGGAAAUUCCUUGCCCUUACCAUUGGCUGCCGAAGGAGAAAGCUUUAGAGUUUGAUGUCAGAUGCCCUGAUGGAUACUAUUUUGGAGAUUUGAGAGAAGAUCAAGCACCGUACAUAAACUCAUAUUGGCCCCAUGCUUUCACAGAUUCUGUUAAAUUUGUUCGAGAUCAACUUGUUCUAAAUGGAGGAUUAGGAUUGUACGAAAAGGGAACUGACGAUUUAGUUUGUUGGAUUAUCCUCAAUAACUACGGAGGUUUAGGUAUGCUCCACACCUUGGACAAGUAUAGAAGACGAGGUUUUGGAGAAUUGAUGACCAAAAAUUUCAGUAGGUUUCUACGCAGAACGUCGUGAUGGGCAAGGUUUCGGAUAUUUUGAGGCCAGUAUAAUAGUUCAUGAGAACACUGACGUUAAAGAACUUAUUUCAUUUGACCGUAAUUCAUCUACUACUUGGAAGGAUAUGUAUUUGCUAUCUAACACAAAUGGAAAAGCAUUAAUGAGGUUCAACCUAGUAAACGACUACCAUGUAAAGUUUGCAAUAGAUUAUAUCAAGAUUUACAACUCCAAUUGCUUUUAUCCAACUCAAGUUCCACCAGGGACCACUAACCAU